rnacentral:rRNA from 1 species
ACUGCCCAGUGCGUGUAUUUUUUGUUUAAAGUAAAAAUCGUAAAUGGCAGCGGUAUUUUGACUGUUCUAAGGUAGCGUAAUCAUUUGGCUUUUAAUUGGAGUCCGGUAUGAAUGAGUUGACGAGGGUUUUUCUGUCUUAUUUUUAUUUUAGUGAAUUUAUUUUUUAAGUUAAAAUUCUUAGAUGUUUUUUAGGGACGAUAAGACCCCGAUGAGUUUAUAUUUAAUUUGUCUUUUGUAAUUUUUUAAAUAUUUGGUUGGGGUAACUAUAAUGGUUUUGUAAUUUUUUUAAGUGUUGUCUUUGUACUUAUGAAUUUUCUUUCUUGUAAUAUUAAAAAGGAAAUAUUUGUUUUUGUUUUAGCUUUUAUUUUUAAAAAGUUUUUUUCUUGAAGUUUUAUAAGUUUUUAUUUAAAUUUUGUGUUAAGGUGUUUUAGAUAAGUUCUUUUCGAUUAAUUUAUUGUUUUGAUCUGGUAGGGUUAUUUAUACCAGUUUUAGUUAAAUUACCGCGGGGGUAACAGCGUGGUUGUCUUUUUGAGUUCUUAUCUAAAGAUAGUUCGCGACCUCGA